CAGAACCCGGGUCACAGUUUUGAGAAGACAGCCUCACAGAAGACUGCGUGUGCUAUGCAGCUGGGCUAUACUGGGUUCUCCAUCUGCACUUGGGCCCAACCCAUCCAGAACUGGAGGAAAGGGAGGAAGAAGUUCCUUGUAAUACAGAGUACAGCACUAGGAGAGAGAUGGGUGUGGCUGCGUGUCCUUAUUCCAAUCUAAGCAAUGUGUGCAGAAGUGAAUCGUGCUUCAUUUUGGUGAGAUGGGGCCUUUGGGAC